UGACGUGCACCUCCUCAAAAAUGCAACUACGUAUACAAUUUUACCCCCCUUUACGUUGGCGGAGCGCAAUACGAGUGCAAACUCUACAGUGAGUCGCGCGCCCUGGUUGGUGGAGAGGGACCGUAUACUGCCAAUCGGGACGCAGAACUCCACCGCAGACUGCCAAUCACGCAUCGAUAUGCUCGCGCAACACAGCGGAUCCCACUGCGGCUGCCGAAGGUGUUCUGUUCUGGUACGACUGAAAUUGGAUCUAUUAAUAAUAACACUCCUAAAAUUGGAUUUAUUAAUAACACUCGCCGUUUAGACUAUAGUUUUGGAAGGCUGGACGCAGUGCGGAGGCCACUGCCCUGGUCCACGCAGAGAGGCUCCUCCUCCGAGAGGGUAUUCCUGCGCCGUCACGUCAGCUGUGCCUGGGAAAGCUGGUGGUGCCAUUUGGCCAGUAUUUGACUGCACCGUUUCACUGGCUUGUGGCAAAUGAUGUGGGCUACAUGAAGUAUGUGCUUGACACGCACAGAUUAGAGAUGAAAAACCCACAUAGAAAGGGAGAGAUGGUGAACCAGUGGGUGAAAGACUACCUCACAGAAUAUGCUGAGAGCUUCCCACAAAUCUCCUGUCUCCUUGAGGCCAACGCCGACAGGUGUAUCUACGGUCAGAGAGGGUUUGAGAAUCACACUUUUCAGGAGAUGUGGGAAAUCAUCAUAAGGAUAGACCAGAGCAAUUCAGUGAUGAGCCGAGGGAGAUAAUACAGAAGUCAUGCAGUUCUGUGAGGCGGUGGUUAAACACAGCAGUCACCCACAUCACAAGCGUGCAGAUGAAGAGGUUCAGGAAGUAUAUCACUGACAAAGAGCGACAGCCACAGGCAAGCCCCUUCAUGUGUGGUCCUUCGUCAUUG